rnacentral:tRNA from 1 species
GGCCUCGUAGCUCAGUCGGCUAGAGCGUUGGCUGUCCUGAAACUUUCCACUUGCUGGCAUGGGUUUGAGUCCCACCGAGGCCA